rnacentral:rRNA from 1 species
AUUGAACGCUGGCGGCAGGCCUAACACAUGCAAGUCGAGCGGUAGAGAGGAGCUUGCUUCUCUUGAGAGCGGCGGACGGGUGAGUAAUGCCUAGGAAUCUGCCUGGUAGUGGGGGAUAACGUUCGGAAACGGACGCUAAUACCGCAUACGUCCUACGGGAGAAAGUGGGGGAUCUUCGGACCUCACGCUAUCAGAUGAGCCUAGGUCGGAUUAGCUAGUUGGUGAGGUAAAGGCUCACCAAGGCGACGAUCCGUAACUGGUCUGAGAGGAUGAUCAGUCACACUGGAACUGAGACACGGUCCAGACUCCUACGGGAGGCAGCAGUGGGGAAUAUUGGACAAUGGGCGCAAGCCUGAUCAAGCCAUGCCGCGUGUGUGAAGAAGGUCUUCGGAUUGUAAAGCACUUUAAGUUGGGAGGAAGGUCAGUAGCUUAAUACGUUGCUGAUUUGACGUUACCGACAGAAUAAGCACCGGCUAACUCUGUGCCAGCAGCCGCCGUAAUAC